AACGAACGCUGGCGGCAUGCCUAACACAUGCAAGUCGAACGAGACCUUCGGGUCUAGUGGCGCACGGGUGCGUAACGCGUGGGAACCUGCCCUUAGGUUCGGAAUAACUCCCCGAAAGGGGUGCUAAUACCGGAUAAUGUCUUCGGACCAAGGAUUUAUCGCCUUUGGAUGGGCCCGCGUUGGAUUAGCUAGUUGGUAGGGUAAAAGCCUACCAAGGCGACGAUCCAUAGCUGGUCUGAGAGGAUGAUCAGCCACACUGGGACUGAGACACGGCCCAGACUCCUACGGGAGGCAGCAGUGGGGAAUAGUGGACAAUGGGCGAAAGCAUGAUCCAGCAAUGCCGCGAGAGUGAUGAAGGCAGUAGGGUUGUAAAGCUCUUUUACCCGGGAUGAUAAUGACAGUACCGGGAGAAUAAGCUCCGGCUAACUCCGUG
rnacentral:rRNA from 1 species